CAAUUCAAUUUUUUUUCUUCAUAUGUAUCCAAAUGAUUUAGAUAAUAGAACAAAGAGUAAAAGAAACUCACUGUUAAGUUUCUGAAAUUUGUACGAAAGAGUGGAUUUAGAAAGAAUGAGUUGGAAGAAGAAAAAUAUUACUCCCCCAUCCUAAUUACAACCUUUGAAAUUUAUAUUCUAAAAUAAAUUUUAAAUAUUUGUGUGACUAUAAAUUAUAUCAUUAAGAUAAAAAUAAUCAUUUAUAGUCUAAAAUAAAUCUUAAAUAUUUGUGUGACUAUGAAUUAUUUCAUUAAGGUAAAAAUAAUAAUUUAAAACUAAGUUAUUUUUUAUAUAAAAAGAUAACAUUUUUGAAAAUAGAUUAAAAAUAAAAAUGUGUUACUUAAAUUUAUGCUUAAAAUAGAAGAGGAAGAAAAACAAAAUCAAUAAAAACUACAACAAAAAAAUGUUAGCAAAAUUCACGCCUAUAUUUAUAUUAAUAUAACAUAAAAAUGUAAAAAAGGAUACCAUGUAGAUUAUUUAUGGCCUAAUAAUACGAAAAUGCAGCAUUAAAAUUUUACACAAAAAUUGCGCAACAUUAGAAUCAAACCCGCAACGUGGAAGCUGAAAAUUUGGCCUUUCACCACUGGCACCAGGCAGGCUACCUGUUGUUGG
rnacentral:lncRNA from 1 species